rnacentral:rRNA from 1 species
GACGAACGCUGGCGGCGUGCUUAACACAUGCAAGUCGAACGGUGAAGGGGUCUGCUUUUGUGGGCCCUGGAUGAGUGGCGAACGGGUGAGUAACACGUGAGUAACCUGCCCCCUUCUUCUGGAUAACCGCAUGAAAGUGUGGCUAAUACGGGAUAUUCUGGGUCUGUCGCAUGAUGGGUCUGGGAAAGAUUGCGCCUUUGGGUGUUUUUGGUGGGGGAUGGGCUCGCGGCCUAUCAGCUUGUUGGUGGGGUGAUGGCCUACCAAGGCGGUGACGGGUAGCCGGCCUGAGAGGGUGGACGGUCACACUGGGACUGAGACACGGCCCAGACUCCUACGGGAGGCAGCAGUGGGGAAUAGUGCACAAUGGGCGCAAGCCUGAUGCAGCGACGCCGCGUGAGGGAUGGAGGCCUUCGGGGUGUAAACCUCUUUCGCCAGUGAAGCAGGCCUGCUCCUUGUGGGUGGGUUGACGGUAGCUGGAUAAGAAGCGCCGGCUAACUACGUG